GCAAGCCGCUUUAGCUCCUAUCUGGUCCAUGGGGAUAGGUUACAUACCCUUUGCUAGAGAGUGAAGAUGAAUCCCAAUGUCAUUUGGAUCCUGCUUUCAUGGGAUGAUUCAGCUUUCUCAGGCUGAGUCAGGAACCAGUCCUCUGUGUCACAUGCCAUUCUUCUGAUUUUCAUGAAUAUCCUCUAAAAGGCAGCUAAGCACUCGCUGUCUUCUUCCUUUUGCCUCAUCAAGCACGGGGGACGCUGGAAGGAAGAGUAUUUGUACAGUUGAGCCGAAAUGCCUGUUCUAACAAAGAGAGCCUGGGUGGGACUGCCAAGAUGAAUAGACAUAAUCCUCGAUCUAACCACUUCACAGUUUAUCAUCGGAGUCAAGUUUGCAGAUAAACAAUUGCCAUGCAACUUUCAAGACAGUUGUUCAUCUGCUUCCAGAAAAUGGUGCCUGAGAUGAGCAAGGUCAGCAGACAAGAAGUGAGGUCAAUGUCAGGUUUCCAUGCCAGCAGCGGGAACUCUGGAUACAGUGGAGAGUCACAGCUGGUCAAACCCUGAACCGCUUGCUCCUUGAAAUGGCCAGAGAGGCCCAUCCCAGAGCCAUCUCAUCAUCUCUCCUCAGACAGGAAACCGAGAAGGAAAACAAUCAGCUCUGUUCUCUCUGGGCCGAGGGAGUGAGCUGUAAUGAGGGAGCACAGGAACGCAUUGGGCGCCCUCAGACCUGAACACACAGGUUAGCACCACCUGCCUGGCUGACCUGGCUCACAGGUGCGCGGUUGCCAGUUGAGAAUAACUCAUCCAGGGUUGUUGAAUGGUGGAGGAUCUUCCAAAAUCAGCAGCUAGGAGGUCGAGAACCCUUCAUGCCAUACUAAGAAGUUUCAUGCUAGGCAAAGAAGAGUGACAAGGUAUUUCAACAGGUGAAUGAUAGGUACACAAAGAAGGAUUACCACAGGAAAUCCAGAGAGGCUUUAGAAGACGAGCUUGCGUUGAGAUAGAAGCCGGAAGCCCACUUAGCCAACUGCCUCCAUGGGACUUGGCAUGAGGCAGGCUUAUGACAGUAAAUGCUACACUGCCCUCAGUGAAAAAGAGAAUUUGGCAUUCAUUCUUCUGAACCCGCCAUCCCUCAGCCUUGGCGCCUGGGAAUUCUGCGAAUCGUUGCCUGUGGCAGUGACACUGAUUUGUAUCUGGGUAUGAACUUAAAUGAAAACAUGAAUUGAACUCAUUACUUGAGGAAGGAAACACUGCCAAAUUUAACAGGAUGAAAUUCCAGCAGGGUGUAAGGUUUUAUGGGGCUACAGUGGAAUAUCUCAUAGAAAGGUUUCCAGUUCAUAAAACACUUUCAAAACAUGCUCGGCCCUUUUAAGUUGAAGGGACAUUAUCAUUUCUAUCUAUGGCAUUUCUCUGCAAAUUGAACUCAAAUAUCCUUUGGGCUGACUACACAGAGAACAGAAGAAAGAAGUGGAAGAAACUUGGACUGAAGAUUGCCUCCCUGAAAAGGUUUUCUUCAGGCAGAAUUAGGUGAGAACAAAUGACAUCAGAAAGUAGCAUGUCAGUAUACUGCUGCCAGCUCCAUAUGGUUCAGCUUGUUUUCACAGGUAUUUAAUUAAUUCCACAAACAUAUAUUGAGUAUCAGAUGUGGGAUCCUGUUCAACACAUUUGGGGUACAGUAGUCAAUUAGUCUACUCUCAUGGCACAUACAUGCUGGAAGGAGAGAAAAACAAUAAAUAAAUGAACAAAAGAUGCAGUAUCAGGUAGUGAUCAUUGCUAUCAAGAAAAAUAAAGCAAGAGAAAAUGGGAUAGAAGGUGUCAGGGGUGCGGGGUGACAUUUUACAUAGUGUGUUUGGCAAAGGCAAUUCUCAGGUGGUGACAUUUGAACAGAAGCUUGAAUGAAGUGACCUACAUGUUGAAUCCAGAAAGCUAAUUUUAUAUAUAUAUAUUUUUGGAAGGGGGCAGGAGAUAAUAAGCUAGUAAAAGGGUUGGGAAAUUAUUUUGAUUCAAGGAUGCCCAGUUUAAAAAACUGUAAGAGACAGCCCCUCUUUUUCUCCCAGUAUAGCGCUUUCGGUGGCCAUUUGAAUAGAGCUCUGCAUGUUUCCUUGGGAUUUUCUGGUGUUCAUGGCAUAACAACCAGCCAGCAGUCUUCUGGCUGGACCACGUUUUACUUGCUAGCAAGGAGCAGAAGCUGUGGAAAUUGGCAUGUAGAGAUGUAAAAGGAUUUUAUACUUUUCAGCCUGGGCAGAAAAUUAUAGAGAAAAGUAGGUGGGAGUCAGAAAAACAUGAAAUGAGAAAGAAAAGCAUAAUCUGAGUGAGUUCUCUCUCUUUUUUUUUUUGUUUUCUAUGUUUAUCUUUCCACAGCUUUUUCACUGGCUCUGUUAAAAAGCAAAUAUCACUGCAAACUUCAUUUCAUUUUCUCUCAACAGAUGAAAUAAAGCUUGUUAAAAUGUUUUUCCCUUCUGUCAGGUGCAAACUCCAUGUUAGCAGGUUUGAAAACUUUCACAUGUUCAGAUAGCAAUGGAGGUUUUAACUUGGCCAACAUCAACAAACAAACCAUGAGUCCCUCACGUGUGCAAUGCUUGCAUAGAAUGAAAUUGAGUAUGAGCAUGUUUGCCAACCCUACUACAAAUGGUUUAUUUAGAAUAGUAGAAUGUGAAAAAUACAGAUUUAUUUUUAAUAGCUAGUACCAUGAUGAUUAUUGAUUUUUUCUUCCAGAUUAUUAAUUUAAAUAGCAAAAUUAUGCUACAUGUUUAAAAUAUGUCUGUAUCCUGAAAGUACUUAUUGUAAGCUUAAGCCCAGUCUUAUUUCUAAAAAGAUAAUUUGUAGGAGGUAUAAUUUUCAUUUGUAUUCAUGUAUAUUAAUAUAUUUUUUGGUGUUACACUGUUGCAUGAGGAUAGCUGUAAGGUCAGGAUAUUUAGGAAACCUCUGAAUUGAACAUUGAGCUUGUGGAUCUAAUAUUUAAGUAACUGGUUUCUGUCUACGUACUCUUUUCUCUUCCGUGGUAAGCCCUGCAGGCAAGCUCACUUCUCUAUGUUCUCAGUUGUAAAUGAGGAAAGUAGGACGAGGUAUGGAGCUGGAGGGUAAAUGGCAGAAUAGAAGACAGAGUGCCAUUCUGCGUAAGAGCACCACCUUUUGUGUUUGGCAGGCUUGGUUUUAGUCCUGAUUUUUCCAGGUCCAAGUAUAAUCUGGAGCAUUUCUCAAAUUCACUAAACCUCAGUUUCACCUUCUGUAAAACGAAGCUAUUUCAUUGAGUUAUUUUGGGUUACAUAUGUAAAAUUUACAGCCAAAUACUUAACACUCAAGUCUGUCAAGAAACAAUUCCAAAUAUUUUAUAAUAAAUAUAUAAAAAACUUUCACAAUUCAUGGAAUUUACUUCUUGAUUAGUUGCCAUGGUCUAUGGUUAUAAUGAAAUGUACUCUUGGCAGUCCUGGAUAGAGAAGCUCUUGAACCACAACCACAACCAUUACCUUGGAGAUGUCGAAACUGCCCUUUUCCCCGAGACCAUCAUUAGUGCUUUCCACGAACCUGGAUGAUAACCUCACGUUCACCUUUCAAAGCCAAGAAUAACAAGAGAAUUGAAUGUAAUGAUAAUGUUUCUUCUUAAAAUUAUGCCAAAUCCGACUUAGUUGAUGUGAGUUCUGCUUUUUAAAUUAAAGAAAGUACAAAGUCUAUUUUGUGGGUUGGCUAAAAGGGCACUGGUUAAAGAAAACAAUGGUUAUUUGUUUCUGAUGUACAAAUGAUCCACACAGACACAUCUUUAGAUGAAACCCCAAAUUCUUUACUGGUUGGGUUCUACAAAGAGUGACAGUAGUAAUUUGGUGAAGCAGCAGGGGGCAGAGGACUCUUGGUGGUAAGUUAACUUGAUUCUACUUUGAAAACUCUG
rnacentral:lncRNA from 10 species